UCCCUAUGGGUGCAGCAGUCGCGAAAAUUUUGCAAUACACGAAAGUGUGACAGAGCUAUCCCGAGUGCCAUCCGCUGAGGAAGGCUUUUACCCAGUAUAAAUAGCUGGGAGAAUAAGGAGAGGGCAAGUCUGGUGUCAGCCGCCGCGGUAAUACCAGCUCUCCGAGUAGUGUGGACGUUUAUUGGGCCUAAAGCAUCCGUAGCUUGCUAAGCAAGUCCCCUGUUAAAUCCACCGAUUCAAUCGGUGGAUUGCGGGGGAUACUGUUUGGCUAGGGGACGGGAGAGGUCGACGGUAUUUCCGGGGUAGGGGUGAAAUCCUAUAAUCCCGGGAAGACCACCAGUGGCGAAGGCUGUCGACUAGAACGCGCCCGACGGUGAGGGAUGAAAGCUGGGGGAGCGAACCGGAUUAGAUACCCGGGUAGUCCCAGCUGUAAACGAUGCAGGCUAGGUGUUUGGGCGGCCACGAGCCGCCCUAGUGCCGCAGGGAAGCUGUUAAGCCUGCCGCCUGGGGAGUACGGCCGCAAGGCUGAAACUUAAAGGAAUUGGCGGGGGAGCACCACAAGGUGUGAAGCUUGCGGUUUAAUUGGAUUCAACGCCGGAA
rnacentral:rRNA from 1 species